rnacentral:rRNA from 1 species
CCUACGGGAGGCAGCAGUGGGGAAUAUUGCACAAUGGGGGAAACCCUGAUGCAGCAAAGCAGCGUGAGUGAAGAAGUAUUUCGGGAUGUAAAGCUCUAUCAGCAGGGGAGAAAAUGACAGUACCUGACUAAGAAGCCCCGGCUAACUACGUGCCAGCAGCCGCGGUAAUACGUCGGGGGCAAGCGUUAUCCGGAUUUACUGGGUUUAAAGGGAGCUUAGACGGGUUGGCAAGUCAGAAGUGAAAGCCCGGGGCUCAACCGUGGGACUGCUUUUGAAACUGUGUAGCUAGAGUGCAGGUGAGGUAAGUGGAAUGCCUGGUGUAGCGGUGAAAUGCGUAGAUAUUAGGAGGAACACCGGUGGCGAAGGCGGCUUACUGGACUGUAACUGACGUUGAGGCUCGAAAGUGUGGGGAGCAAACAGGAUUAGAUACCCUGGUAGUC